rnacentral:rRNA from 1 species
UACGAAGGGGGCUAGCGUUGCUCGGAAUCACUGGGCGUAAAGCGCACGUAGGCGGAUUGUUAAGUCAGGGGUGAAAUCCUGGAGCUCAACUCCAGAACUGCCUUCGAUACUGGAGAGCUUGAGUUCGGGAGAGGUGAGUGGAACUGCGAGUGUAGAGGUGAAAUUCGUAGAUAUUCGGAGGAACACCAGUGGCGAAGGCGGCUCACUGGUCCAUUACUGACGCUGAGGUGCGAAAGCGUGGGAAGCAAACAGG